AUCCCUGCAGGCAAGUGGCAUGAUGACACAGACAGACACAACCCAUCCCUAUCGGUGUGCCUUAAGACAGAAGAUCACACCCAGGCAGAGCGUGGACCCUGCCCAGAGUUGAAGCCUGCGGACCUCCAGCCCCCAUCUCAAUGGGCUCAGCAAGGAGCCUUCAGAAUGUGUGAAAGGGACCCCUGGAGAAGUUGGGGACAGGGUAGGACAAGGCAGUUCCCCACCGGGCCAACCAGAUGGCCCCACAAGAUCCGUGAAAGACAGUUUCAGAGCCCUGACUGCUCACACCCAACAAGGGCAAAGGACCCACAGAGGUGCCCGCACAGUGGGCUGACAGGCACCGAGACAGAGGCAAUCGGCUAGAAGAGGCCAUGCCCUGAAGCUGCAGACAGGGAGGAGGUCAAGUCAGAGAGGGCACCGGAGAUGGCAAGCCAGGGCACAGGAGGGCUCCGCUGUCUGCGCCCAACUCUCCUGAGACCGAGGAGGCAGCUGCUAGAACCACCCCUCAACAGCGGAGGCCGCCGGGCACGAUCCGCGCACUCGGGCGGGGAGCGAGGCACCCACACCUACAGGCGGAGAGCAAGUCGGGCGCCCGGCGAGAGUGGCGAGGAACAGGAACCCGGCCAGGCUCCGGGAGCCCUCAGAGCGCCUCCUCCGGAGAUAACUUCCCCAGACCCCAAGGGGGCAGUCCUCAGACUCGGACAGGGCAGCGCACGACCCCCGAGCCCGCCCGGGGAGAGAGGGCUGGGGGCGGACUGG
rnacentral:lncRNA from 1 species